CUACGGGGCGCAGCAGUGGGGAAUAUUGCACAAUGGGCGCAAGCCUGAUGCAGCCAUGCCGCGUGUAUGAAGAAGGCCUUCGGGUUGUAAAGUACUUUCAGCGGGGAGGAAGGGAGUAAAGUUAAUACCUUUGCUCAUUGACGUUACCCACAGAAGAAGCACCGGCUAACUCCGUGCCAGCAGCCGCGGUAAUACGGAGGGUGCAAGCGUUAAUCGGAAUUACUGGGCGUAAAGCGCGCGCAGGCGGUUUGUUAAGUCAGAUGUGAAAUCCCCGGGCUCAACCUGGGAACUGCAUCUGAUACUGGCAAGCUUGAGUCUCGUAGAGGGGGGUAGAAUUCCAGGUGUAGCGGUGAAAUGCGUAGAGAUCUGGAGGAAUACCGGUGGCGAAGGCGGCCCCCUGGACGAAGACUGACGCUCAGGUGCGAAAGCGUGGGGAGCAAACAGGAUUAGAUACCCCAGUAGUC
rnacentral:rRNA from 1 species